UGCCUAAUACAUGCAAGUCGAACGAACUCUGGUAUUGAUUGGUGCUUGCAUCAUGAUUUACAUUUGAGUGAGUGGCGAACUGGUGAGUAACACGUGGGAAACCUGCCCAGAAGCGGGGGAUAACACCUGGAAACAGAUGCUAAUACCGCAUAACAACUUGGACCGCAUGGUCCGAGUUUGAAAGAUGGCUUCGGCUAUCACUUUUGGAUGGUCCCGCGGCGUAUUAGCUAGAUGGUGGGGUAACGGCUCACCAUGGCAAUGAUACGUAGCCGACCUGAGAGGGUAAUCGGCCACAUUGGGACUGAGACACGGCCCAAAUCCCUACGGGAGGCAGCAGUAGGGAAUCUUCCACAAUGGACGAAAGUCUGAUGGAGCAACGCCGCGUGAGUGAAGAAGGGUUUCGGCUCGUAAAACUCUGUUGUUAAAGAAGAACAUAUCUGAGAGUAACUGUUCAGGUAUUGACGGUAUUUAACCAGAAAGCCACGGCUAACUACGUGCCAGCAGCCGCGGUAAUACGUAGGUGGCAAGCGUUGUCCGGAUUUAUUGGGCGUAAAGCGAGCGCAGGCGGUUUUUUAAGUCUGAUGUGAAAGCCUUCGGCUCAACCGAAGAAGUGCAUCGGAAACUGGGAAACUUGAGUGCAGAAGAGGACAGUGGAACUCCAUGUGUAGCGGUGAAAUGCGUAGAUAUAUGGAAGAACACCAGUGGCGAAGGCGGCUGUCUGGUCUGUAACUGACGCUGAGGCUCGAAAGUAUGGGUAGCAAACAGGAUUAGAUACCCUGGUAGUCCAUACCGUAAACGAUGAAUGCUAAGUGUUGGAGGGUUUCCGCCCUUCAGUGCUGCAGCUAACGCAUUAAGCAUUCCGCCUGGGGAGUACGGCCGCAAGGCUGAAACUCAAAGGAAUUGACGGGGGCCCGCACAAGCGGUGGAGCAUGUGGUUUAAUUCGAAGCUACGCGAAGAACCUUACCAGGUCUUGACAUACUAUGCAAAUCUAAGAGAUUAGACGUUCCCUUCGGGGACAUGGAUACAGGUGGUGCAUGGUUGUCGUCAGCUCGUGUCGUGAGAUGUUGGGUUAAGUCCCGCAACGAGCGCAACCCUUAUUAUCAGUUGCCAGCAUUAAGUUGGGCACUCUGGUGAGACUGCCGGUGACAAACCGGAGGAAGGUGGGGAUGACGUCAAAUCAUCAUGCCCCUUAUGACCUGGGCUACACACGUGCUACAAUGGAUGGUACAACGAGUUGCGAACUCGCGAGAGUAAGCUAAUCUCUUAAAGCCAUUCUCAGUUCGGAUUGUAGGCUGCAACUCGCCUACAUGAAGUCGGAAUCGCUAGUAAUCGCGGAUCAGCAUGCCGCGGUGAAUACGUUCCCGGGCCUUGUACACACCGCCCGUCACACCAUGAGAGUUUGUAACACCCAAAGUCGGUGGGGUAACCUUUUAGGAACCAGCCGCCUAAGGUGGGACAGAUGAUUAGGGUG
rnacentral:rRNA from 1 species